UACGUAGGGGGCAAGCGUUGUCCGGAAUUAUUGGGCGUAAAGCGCGUGUAGGCGGCAGUGCAAGUCGGGUGUGAAAGCCCUCAGCUCAACUGAGGAAGUGCGCCCGAAACUGCAUUGCUUGAGUACCGGAGAGGAUGGCGGAAUUCCCGAAGUAGAGGUGAAAUUCGUAGAUAUCGGGAGGAACACCGGUGGCGAAGGCGGCCAUCUGGACGGAUACUGACGCUGAGACGCGAAAGCGUGGGUAGCAAACAGG
rnacentral:rRNA from 1 species